ACACUCCUACGGGAGGCAGCAGUGGGGAAUUUUGGACAAUGGGGGCAACCCUGAUCCAGCAAUGCCGCGUGAGUGAAGAAGGCCUUCGGGUUGUAAAGCUCUUUUGUCAGGGAAGAAACGGUGGUGGCGAAUAACUACUACUAAUGACGGUACCUGAAGAAUAAGCACCGGCUAACUACGUGCCAGCAGCCGCGGUAAUACGUAGGGUGCAAGCGUUAAUCGGAAUUACUGGGCGUAAAGCGUGCGCAGGCGGUUGUGUAAGUCAGAUGUGAAAUCCCCGGGCUCAACCUGGGAAUUGCAUUUGAGACUGCACGGCUAGAGUGUGUCAGAGGGGGGUAGAAUUCCACGUGUAGCAGUGAAAUGCGUAGAUAUGUGGAGGAAUACCGAUGGCGAAGGCAGCCCCCUGGGAUAACACUGACGCUCAUGCACGAAAGCGUGGGGAGCAAACAGGAUUAGAAACCCCGGUAGUCCCAUGA
rnacentral:rRNA from 1 species